rnacentral:rRNA from 1 species
AUUGACGCUGAGGCACGAAAGUGUGGGGAUCAAACAGGAUUAGAUACCCUGGUAGUCCAACACUGUAAACGAUGAUAACUCGCUGUCGGCGAUACACAGUCGGUGGCCAAGCGAAAGCGAUAAGUUAUCCACCUGGGGAGUACGACCGCAAAGGUUGAAACUCAAAGGAAUUGACGGGGGCCCGCACAAGCGGAGGAACAUGUGGUUUAAUUCGAUGAUACGCGAGGAACCUUACCCGGGCUCGAACGGUGCAUGAAUGGACAAGAGAUUGUUCAGACCUUAGGGACAUGUAUCGAGGUGCUGCAUGGUUGUCGUCAGCUCGUGCCGUGAGGUGUCGGCUUAAGUGCCAUAACGAGCGCAACCCUUGUCAUUAGUUACCAUCAGGUAGAGCUGGGGACUCUAAUGAGACUGCCACCGUAAGGUGAGAGGAAGGGGGGGAUGACGUCAAAUCAGCACGGCCCUUAUGUCCGGGGCGACACACGUGUUACAAUGGGGGGUACAGAGGGCAGCCAUCCGGCGACGGAGCGCCAAUCUCAAGAACCCUUCUCAGUUCGGAUUGGAGUCUGCAACUCGACUCCAUGAAGUUGGAUUCGCUAGUAAUCGCGCAUCAGCCAUGGCGCGGUGAAUACGUUCCCGGGCCUUGUACACACCGCCCGUCAAGCCAUGGAAGCUUGGGGUGCCUGAAGUUCGUGACCGCAAGGAGCGACCUAGGGCAAAACAAGUAACUGGGGCUAAGUCGUAACAAGGUAACC